rnacentral:rRNA from 1 species
UACAGAGGGUGCGAGCGUUAAUCGGAAUUACUGGGCGUAAAGGGUGCGUAGGUGGUUAAUUAAGUCAGAUGUGAAAGCCCUGGGCUCAACCUGGGAAUGGCAUUUGAAACUGGUAAGCUAGAGUAUGGUAGAGGGAAGUGGAAUUUCCGGUGUAGCGGUGAAAUGCGUAGAUAUCGGAAGGAACACCAGUGGCGAAGGCGACUUCCUGGACCAAAACUGACACUGAGGCACGACAGCGUGGGGAGCAAACAGG